AAAUUUUGAAGCGUGAUGAAAAAUGGAAAUCUUGAACUGCUUUCUCAAAGCCUCAGAAGCUAAAGUCAGGUAGAGACUUUUGGAACAGGUUAAAACAAGCCAGGUCUUCCCAUGGAUGUACAGCAAAUGAAGACACAGCCAGAACAGGUAGGGGCAAAGCAAAACUUUGAGCAUUUAGGUGCAAUUGUUGGACAACAUAUUGGAAACAAGUAUUGGUGUCCAGAAGAAGGAGGAGAGAAGGAAAUGUCAAAGCACUCCAGAAUUUUUGCCAAGAAAACCCUGAAAUGGCACCACAAUGAAUGAGAUUGGAUUGAAUAACAA
rnacentral:lncRNA from 1 species